UGUGACUUUCAUUCCCAUUGCUUCAGUGUCCAGCAAUUUCUUGCAUUUGAUUUUCUAUGAACAGGCCUUUUCCUCCUUACAUGAAUAUGAUGUCUUAUCAGAUCAUGAAAUGCCUAAAUAAACACACAUAAAAUCAGUCUAAUUAAUAAAUUAUAAUUAUUUAUAAUAUAUAAAUAUAUAUUCAGAGAAUGCAUUAAGCCAUGUCUCUCAUACUGUGCUGAAGGUCACGUGCAUGUGGAGUUGGAGCUGCAGUGCUGUCCCAGCCAGUGAGGAGGUUAACUGAUCUGCUGAGGGGAGGAGAGCCGUCCUGCCACACCACACGAUAUUGACAGGUGUGGGUUGCAACCUGAUCUUUCCAUGCACUGAUGAAGAUCUCUGGUUGUAUGAUAAAACGACUCCUCGCUUCAGCUGCAGGCCUCAGUGAGCUGUGGGGCAGACAAACUGGCUCCUGAGCGAUCAAAGUCUUCAGUGUGGUGUUUGAGUUGUGAACCGUGGCCCAGGCAGGCAGGAAACGCAUCAUGGUGCUAACUGGAACCAGAUGUCAGAGGCUGCUGGGGAUUCUCACAAUGGAACAUGCUCGUCAAAAGGAAACUUUUCUCUCCUCCUCUCUCUCGUUCUCUGUUUCUUUUCUUUUUUUUCCCUGCAAGCAUCAAAGACCCUGAUUGUUUGGGUGCUGAUUGAUUGCUAGAAUGUGACAGUCACCACCAAAUCUAGUUUCAGCAGGAUGGAGAGCGAUAAAGCAAGAUGGGUUAAAGGAGGACCAACCCAGGAACAUGGUGUUCAAGUACCUUAACUCUGUUGCCUAGGAAACGAGACAAUUUGGGGGG